CCUGACCUCGAUUCGAGCGUGAWUACCCGCUGAACUUAAGCAUAUCAGUAAGCGGAGGAAAAGAAACUAACCAGGAUUCUCUUAUAGUAACGGCGAGUGAACAGAGAUUAGCCCAGCACCGAAGCCUACGCUGCUUAAGCGUAAGGCAAUGUGGUGUUUAAGUCAUAGCCUGGAACUCGGUUCUAACUUCAAGUGCAUUCUUGAAUAUGCCUGCUUAAACGGGUGAUAGCCCCGUAAGAAGUUAGACCAUGCCCCCUGAGUUCUCAGAUGCUUUGUCUUUUAGAGUCCGGAUUGCUUGAGAAUGCAGUCCAAAGKUGGGUGGGUAAACUCCAUCAAAGGCUAAAUCCCUGCGGUGAGUCCGAUAGCUAACAAGUACCCGUGAGGGGAAAGUGAAAAGGUACUCUAAUAGGAAGAGUAACAGUACGUGAAACUACAUGGAGGUUAACCGAACGGAGUCAGACUUYUAGAUCAUGGUGGUUUAGCUGAGAAUAUUGCAAGGUGAGCAUUGCUUCAGGUUUGCUAAAACUCUUUCGUGUACUUUUGUUGCAUUGAACGAGUCUGUCGCAAGUAGCUUACUUCUCAGUGUUUCCAUUAUGGUUAGCGGCUCACUCAAUGUCUGCUUUUCGCUUGCUCGAUAAACACUUUGGGUACUGGGCAACCAGGAUUCUUUGUGAUGGCAGAAACUGGAGUUCCUUCGGGUUCGCUGGUUACUUGGCUUAGGCCUGCUUUCGAGAUAAGUGGAAUAGUGGUGCAUUGGUUGAUUGUUGGAAGUGUGCGUGUUGAUGAAUUCUUGGCGGUAGUAUGGCUUCGAUACUAAAGUAUGGUGCUGUGCUGCGUUAAGUUGGAUUUGAUUCGUGCCUUCGAUGUUAAGUGAGUCGUCGUAAGGAGACUUUCUGUUCGACCCGUCUUGAAACACGGACCAAGAAGUUUAACAUGUAUGCAAGUCAAUGGGUCUAUGAAACUCUAUGGCGCAAUGAAAGUGAAAGAUUGCUUCAGUGAUCUUAGKGGGAUCCUGGUAAUUCCCUUGUGGGUUAUGGGSGCACACCGCCCCCUAUUSGAUAGUACUGGUUCUCGGACCGCMCGAUAUGAGGSGAGCAAGAGCAUACAUGUUGAGACCCGAAAGAUGGUGAACUAUGCUUGCUUAGGCUGAAGCCAGGGRAACUUCUGGUGGAGGCCGAAGCGGUUUUGACGUGCAAAUCGAUCGUCAAAAGUGAGCAUAGGGGCGAAAGACUAAUCGAACCAUCUAGUAGCUGGUUCCCUCCGAAGUUUCCCUCAGGAUAGCUGGCUCCUUAACAGUUUUAUCCGGUAAAGCGAAUGAUUAGAGGUAUUGGGGAAUUAUUCUCUCAACCUAUUCUCAAACUUUAAAUGGGUAAGAUGUCUGGCUCGCUUAAUUGUAGUCUGGCAUCGAAUGUGGGAGCCAAGUGGACCAUUUUUGGUAAGCAGAACUGGUGAUGAGGGAUGAACCUAACGUGCAGUUAAGGUGCCUCAUGCAGACGCUCAUCAGAUACCACAAAAGGUGUUGAUGCAUUAAGACAGCAGGACGGUGGCCAUAAAAGUCGGCAACCGCUAAGGAAUGUGUAACGACUCACCUGCCGAAUGCAUCAGCCCUGAAAAUGGAUGGCGCUGUAGCGUUGAACCUAUACUGUACCGUCAAGGCAUGGUCUUCGGACUCUUGCACGCCUUGACGAGUAGGAGGGCGCCGUGAUGGCUGGGAAGCAUAUAGUGUAAACUAUUGUGGAGCCGUCACGGGUGCAGAUCUUGGUGGUAGUAGCAAUUAUUCAAGUGAUAUCCUUGAAGGCCGAAGUGGAGAUGGGUUCCAUGUGAACAGUGCUUGGCCAUGGGUCAGGCGUUCCUAAGUUAACUGGUAACUCAGUUGGUUUGGUGGUUGAGAUUCUUUUUAACCACCAAGGCGAAAGGUAACCUGGUUAAAAUUCCAGGCCCUGCUAUGGAAAUUGAACUUCGGUUCACAGCGCGGUAACGCUAGCUGCUCUGGAGACGUUGAUGGGCGUUCUGGGAAGAGUUCUCUUUUCUUUGUUAAGAUUCACCAACCCUGGAAACGGUUUGUCCGCAGAAAGGGUUAACCGGAUCUGUAAAGCACCACUCAUUCCGUGGGUGUCCGGAACGCGCCUGUCGACCCUUGAAAAUCCAGAUCCGGCCAUAAUUUUAUAGCUGGUCCGUACCAACAUCCGCAUUCAGGUCUCCAAGGKGAACAGCUCUUGGUUGUGAACAAUGUGGGUAAGGGGAAGUCGGCAAAUUGGAUCCGUAACUUCGGAAGAAGGAUUGGCUUGAGAGUCGAGUCAGGCGGGCUGCAGGUAGAAGCGUUUGGAUCUAGUCGAAUACUGCUUGUGCGUCUGCUUCGGUGGAUGUCUUGUGGAGUUUGACAGGAACCGGCGUGGGCGCCUGUAGCUAUCAGAGUAGCUUGGUUAGUUUCGGCUUCCUUGCUGCUUUCGUCUGGCGAAAAACGACUAACUCAGAACUGGCACGGACCAAAGGAAUCCGA
rnacentral:rRNA from 1 species